GGGGAGGGGGAGAAAAUGAUACACACGCUCACGAAUAGGGAUGUAAAAAAAAUGUAGGGUGCGUUUGUUUGCUGUAAAAUGGUUUCCAGAAAACAUUUUACACCAUUUCCAGUGUUUGUUUGGGGGAAAAUGAAAUCCUUUAGUAAAACAUUUUCCAAAACACGGUAAAAUCAAACCCAUUCCUCCAGAAAAUGUCUUACGGCUUCAAAAUUGGUAAGACAUUUUCCAUUCUUCUCUAAGCAGACAUUUUCCAUUCUCUUCUAAGCAGCAGACAUUUUGCAUUCCUCAAAGCUUCCGCCUCUCUUCCUCAUCUCUGCCUCGCCAUCUCUGUCUCUCAGCUUCAUCUUCCUUCUCCAUCUCUCUGCUUCAUAGAUCUGUCGGGCUAUUGAGCACCCAACUUUUUCAGCACUUACAAGACCAUUGUGUGAUCUGUAUUCACUUAUUCCUCCUCUUCUAGUUGUAACGCAUAAGAAACUCAGGUUUAACAUGGGGAAUGAUGUGUUGUCUUUUGGUGAUUUGAAUGUUUAUGGAAGUUGAGUUCUUCUAGUAAUGAGUUUGAGAGCUUUGAUGGAGGUAAUAAAGGGAAAACUGCUGGUUUUUAUGGUGUUGAAGAUUGGGGUGAAACUGGUGGCAUUGAUCCCUUGCCUUCUGAUUAUGGAUUAGGCUCAGGA